AUUUUAUUUUAAAAUAUACAUUACUUAAAUAUUUAUACUCAUUGGAGAGUAGCUGUAUUUUACCAGUAGUAUUUUCCUACCUGGCCUCUGCUGAUUCGCCACAGAAUUUUGUAAUAUUCACAGCUGUCAGAUUUUUCAGUCUAUCUGGUAUUUUACAGUAUGUGAUCACCAUUUAACGCAUCCUUGAUGACAACAGUGUUUGCUCUCAGUUAAACAGAAAAUUGUAUUUUCAACUGAUAUAAACCAUUAUCUCUUGAAUUGCAGGGAAAAGCACCUGUAUGUUAAAGGAUCAUAGAAUGGUUUGGUUUGGAAGGAAUCUCAAAAACCAUCUGAUACCAACCCCUCUGCCAUGGACUGGGACACCUUCCACUGAACCAGGUUGCUCAUGGCACAUUACAUGGGAAAACAGAUUGCAAAGGGAAUUUAAAGGGUGCCCUCUCCAAAGAAAUGCCUUUUAUCUCGCACAUUUGGCAGAAUAUAAUCAUUUAAGAUUUCUGACACCAGGCAAUCCUGCCUUCUUACAGCGUGGCUCCUUCAAACUCGGUGUAUUUUGUGCCUGUCCAUUAAUUAUACCCUCAAGACAUUAG
rnacentral:lncRNA from 1 species